UGGGGAAUAUUGCGCAAUGGGCGAAAGCCUGACGCAGCGACGCCGCGUGAGGGAUGAAGGUUUUCGGAUCGUAAACCUCUGUCAGAAGGGAAGAACUGUGCUUGUGCUAAUCAGCAGGCAUUUGACGGUACCUUCAAAGGAAGCACCGGCUAACUCCGUGCCAGCAGCCGCGGUAAUACGGAGGGUGCAAGCGUUAAUCGGAAUUACUGGGCGUAAAGCGUGCGUAGGCUGUUUGGUAAGUCAGUGGUGAAAUCCCCGUGCUCAACAUGGGAACUGCCAUUGAAACUGCCAGACUAGAGUGUGUGAGAGGAUAGCGGAAUUCCUGGUGUAGGAGUGAAAUCCGUAGAUAUCAGGAGGAACAUCAGUGGCGAAGGCGGCUAUCUGGCACACAACUGACGCUGAGGUACGAAAGCGUGGGGAUCAAACA
rnacentral:rRNA from 1 species